AACCAUAGAAACCUGCGGAGUACCUGCGGAAGGAUCAUUACAGAGUUGCAAAACUCCCACAAACCAUCGCGAAUCUUACCCGUACGGUUGCCUCGGCGCUGGCGGUCCGGAAGGCCCUCGGGCCCCCGGACCCUCGGGUCCCCCGCUCGCGGGGGGCUGCCCGCCGGAGUGCCGAAACCAAACUCUUGAUAUUUUAUGUCUCCCUGAGUAAACUUUUAAAUAAGUCAAAACUUUUAACAA
rnacentral:misc_RNA from 1 species